rnacentral:rRNA from 1 species
UACGUAGGGUGCAAGCGUUAAUCGGAAUUACUGGGCGUAAAGCGUGCGCAGGCGGCUAUGCAAGACAGAUGUGAAAUCCCCGGGCUCAACCUGGGAACUGCAUUUGUGACUGCAUAGCUAGAGUACGGUAGAGGGGGAUGGAAUUCCGCGUGUAGCAGUGAAAUGCGUAGAGAUCCGGAGGAACACCAGUGGCGAAGGCGACACGCUGGGCCGUACCUGACACUGAUGCGCGACAGCAUGGGGAGCAAACAGG